rnacentral:rRNA from 1 species
CCUACGGGUGGCAGCAGUGGGGGAUAUUGCACAAUGGGGGGAACCCUGAUGCAGCGACGCCGCGUGGGUGAAGGAGUGCUUCGGCAUGUAAAGCCCUAUCGGCAGGGAAGAAGCAAGACGGUACCUGACUAAGAAGCCCCGGCUAACUACGUGCCAGCAGCCGCGGUAAGACGUAGGGGGCGAGCGUUAUCCGGAUUCACUGGGGGUAAAGGGAGCGUAGACGGCCAAGCAAGCCAGGGGUGAAAGCCCGGGGCCCAACCCCGGGACUGCCCUUGGAACUGCAUGGCUGGAGUGCGGGAGGGGCAGGCGGAAUUCCUGGUGUAGCGGUGAAAUGCAUAGAUAUCACGCAGAACCCCGAUUGCGAAGGCAGCUUACUAAGCCAUAACUGACGCUGAGGCACGAAAGCGUGGGGAUCAAACAGGAUUAGAUACCCGAGUAGUC